rnacentral:rRNA from 1 species
ACUAGGUGUGGGGGACAUUCCACGUUUNCGGGCCGUAGCUAACGCAUUAAGUGCCCCCCCUGGNGAGUACGNCCGCAAGNCUAAAACUCAAAGGAAUUGACGGGGGCCCGCACAANCGGCGGAGCAUGCGGAUUAAUUCGAUGCAACGCCGAAGAACCUUACCAAGGCUUGACAUGGGCCGGACCGGGCUGGAAACAGUCCUUCCCCUUUGGGGCCGGUUCACAGGUGGUGCAUGGUNGUCGUCAGCUCGUGUCGUGAGAUGUUGGGUUAAGUCCCGCAACGAGCGCAACCCUCGUUCCAUGUUGCCAGCGCGUAAUGGCCGGGGACUCAUGGGAGACUGCCCGGGGUCAACUCGGAGGAAGGUGGGGACGACGUCAAAUCAUCAUGCCCCUUAUGUCUUGGGCUUCACGCAUGCUACAAUGGCCGGUACAAAGGGUUGCGAUACUGUGAGGUGGAGCUAAUCCCAAAAAGCCGGUCUCAGUUCGGAUUGGGGUCUGCAACUCGACCCCAUGAAGUCGGAGUCGCUAGUAAUCGCAGAUCAGCAACGCUGCGGUGAAUACGUUCCCGGGCCUUGUACACACCGCCCGUCAAGUCACGAAAGUUGGUAACACCCGAAGCCGGUGGCCUAACCCCUUGUGGGAGGGAGCUGUCGAAGGUGGGACNGGCGAUUGGGACUAAGUCGUAANCAAGGUACC